CCGGUGUGGACCUGACUGCAUUGGGGAGCCCCCACCCCGCAAAACCUGGCUUCCGAGCUCUCUGCUGUGGCCUGGGAAAGCAGCAGAAGAUGGUCCAGGUCCUUGGGCCCCUGCACCCGCUUGGGAGACCCGGAAGAAGCUCCUGGCUCCUGGCAUUGACCUAGCCCAGCCCUGGCCGCUGUGGCCAACUGGGGAGUGAACCAGCGGAUGGAGGACCUCUCUCUCUCUCUCUCCCCCUCUCCAUCACUCUGGCUUUAAAAUUAAUAAAGAAAUCUGAAAAUCCA